AGCAGCCGCGGUAAUUCCAGCUCCAAUAGCGUAUAUUAAAGUUGUUGCAGUUAAAAAGCUCGUAGUUGAAUUUCGGGAUCAAUAUGUUGGUCGUGCCUCGGUACGUACUAGCAUAUUGGUCUCUCCUUUCUGAAGAACCAUGAUGUCAUUUAUUUGGUGUCGUGGGGAAUCAGGACUGUUACUUUGAAAAAAUUAGAGUGUUUAAAGCAGGCUCACGCUUGAAUACAUUAGCAUGGAAUAAUGAAAUAGGACGUUUGAUUCUAUUUUGUUGGUUUCUAGGAUCGACGUAAUGAUUAAUAGGGAUAGUUGGGGGCAUUAGUAUUCAAUUGUCAGAGGUGUAAUUCUUGGAUUUAUUGAAGACUAACUACUGCGAAAGCAUUUGCCAAGGAUGUUUUCAUUAAUCAAUGAACGAAAGUUAGGGGAUCGAAGACGAUCAGAUACCGUCGUAGUCUUAACCAUAAACUAUGCCGACUAGGGAUCGGAUGAUGUUAAUUUUUUAAUGACUCAUUC
rnacentral:misc_RNA from 1 species